rnacentral:rRNA from 1 species
UACGUAGGGGGCAAGCGUUGUCCGGAAUUAUUGGGCGUAAAGAGCGUGUAGGCGGUUCGGUAAGUCUGCCGUGAAAACCUGGGGCUCAGCCCCAGGCGUGCGGUGGAUACUGCCGGGCUAGAGGGUGGUAGAGGCGAGUGGAAUUCCCGGUGUAGCGGUGAAAUGCGCAGAUAUCGGGAGGAACGCCGGUGGCGAAAGCGGCUCGCUGGGCCGUUCCUGACGCUGAGACGCGAAAGCUAGGGGAGCGAACAGG